ACCUGGGUGGCUCAGUCGGUUGAGCGUCUGACUUCGGCUCAGGUCAUGAUCUCGCGGUCUGUGGGUUCGAGCCCCGCAUCAGGCU
rnacentral:tRNA from 1 species